GGGGGCGUUUAGAUUCGACAGGGUUGUUGGGUCGUAGGCUGCAGGUCGAGGUCGCUUGGAUCCUCGUUAAAAGCUGAGCAAAACAACAAACGCCAAUGUAAUCAGCGUUGAUUUCUCUGCUAAGCGCGCUCUGCGCGCUGCCUAAAACUAACCUUUUAGAAGCGGAACUCGAUAGUUUCUUGACUACCCGAAACUAAAGGGUCAAACCACGGUGGUUGCCGCAGCACGAAGUUAGCGGUUAGUAGUGCUGCCUAAGACAUAAUCGCGAACCCGGGUAGCCGUUCAGGCUUCCUGCAGCGGGCUGAGCAAUCAGCGACUGUAGAAAUUUCUGAACUAAACUUGUAGACGCUUGCCUCUCGGCUUCUUUGGACGCGAGUGCGAUUCUCGCCGCCUCCACCA
rnacentral:tmRNA from 1 species